GGUCACACCCUAACACUUCCCCUGUGGGCUAAUCACCAUCAAGAUGGAUGGACACUUGCGUGGGCAGCCUGGAGCUGUCUGGCACAUCCCAAACUCUGGGCACUUCAGGACCUGCAAGUGUGUGUGUGUGUGUGUGUGUGUGUGUUGGGGGACAUUGUAGAGGUUGUCAAAAGACAACCUUUCUUGGUUGAAGCUGGAAUAGGGGCAUCGGGCUGGUGCCAUGGUGGGGAUAGUGUAUGUCCAGAGAUAGCCACUAGGGGGCAGGCCAUGACAGCAGGUGGGCCAGGUUAACUGCUGCCUCAGCUCAAAAUGUCUGUGGGAGGACUUAUAACCUAGUGGAGAGUGUUUUGGGGCAUCUCCAGGAUUGGUAAACUCUGGAGAGAUCUAAGGUCCAGGGCUGAAUAGGAGGCGAGGACAGAGGAGGUGGGAGCCUAGUGUAGAUAUCUUUAUCACCUUAAGGCUGUGGUGAAGGUAAAUUGCUUGACCAUGAGGACGAGAUGGACACGAGUUUCCCCGCUGAGGAAGGUGUGGGGAAGAAGAUUGCUACGGGCCAUUGGAGGCCAUCAGAGGCCAUCAGAGGCUGCCAUCUCUCUCCUACAUUGUAGCAGUAAUGGUGGAAUUUCUGAAAUGUGUCUUUGAAAGGUUGUACUUUUACAUCUGAGACAGACUAGAGGUAACCAGAUCUUCCUGAGCCUACUGGAGUGGGAGUUUAGCAUGGUAAUUGGUUGCUAUUACUGAGUCUUUUUCCUAACUACGUCUCUUGAUCUUUAUUUUCCUUUAAAUAGGCUAAAGCAUGUGGGGGUGAAGAAGCCGGGUAAUCUGGCUCACGCCGGCGUACCAGUGCUUUGAGCAAAGGACCAUCAGCUGAGUAGUCAUCUGGGAUACCCUGAUGCUAGCACUCGGGACACUCUAUGUAACUUGAAGAAGUUCCACAGCACUCACUGCUGCUUGUUGCUGGAACACAACUCUGGUUCUUGUAGGCACUGCCUAGCCACAACUGCUUUGAAAAAUUAAUUAAUUAAUUAAUUAAUUAUAUGUAUUUGGGUGUUUUGCCCGGCACCUGUACAUUUGUGCCCCGUGUCUGUUCCUGGUAUCUGUGG
rnacentral:lncRNA from 1 species